rnacentral:misc_RNA from 1 species
GAUGAAGAACGCAGCGAAAUGCGAUAAGUAAUGUGAAUUGCAGAAUUUAGUGAAUCAUCGAAUGUUUGAACGCACAUUGCGCCCGCUAGUAUUCUGGCGGGCAUGCCUGUCCGAGCGUCAUUUCAACCCUCAAGCCCCCGGGCUUGGUGUUGGGGAUCGGCGAGCCUCCGCGCCCGCCGUCCCCUAAAUCUAGUGGCGGUCUCGCUGUAGCUUCCUCUGCGUAGUAGCACACCUCGCACUGGGAAACAGCGCGGCCACGCCGUUAAACCCCCAACUUCUGAACGUUUGACCUCGGAUCAGGUAGGAAUACCCGCUGAACUUAAGCAUAUCAAUAAGCGGAGGA